GCGGUUGUGGUGGAACGGCAGACACACCAUCUUGAGGGGGUGGCGCUGAGAGGCGUGUGGGUUCAAAUCCCACCAACCGCACCA
rnacentral:tRNA from 3 species